GCAGUAGAACACUUGGUAGAGUGCUUGCCUAACAUGCAAGAAGCCCUGGGUUCAAUUCCCAGCACUGUA
rnacentral:tRNA from 1 species